CAGUAGCCGCGGGAAUACGUAGGUGGCAAGCGUUGUCCGGAAUUAUUGGGCGUAAGGGGCUCGCAGGCGGUUUCUUAAGUCUGAUGUGAAAGCCCCCGGCCCAACCGGGGAGGGUCAUUGGAAACUGGGAAACUUGAGUGCAGAAGAGGAGAGUGGAAUUCCACGUGUAGCGGUGAAAUGCGUAGAGAUGUGGAGAAACACCAGUGGCGAAGGCGACUCUCUGGUCUGUAACUGACGCUGAGGAGCGAAAGCGUGGGGAGCGAACAGGAUUAGAUACCCCUGUAGUCCCUGUCUCUUAUAC
rnacentral:rRNA from 1 species